rnacentral:misc_RNA from 1 species
CUUAAAUGGAGUCCAAAAUAACAGGAAAAAUAUUACCAUUAACAAGCCUUUUGAAUUCACAAGUAACUGAGAUGUCACCGGUUUAAGAGAAACUCAGGCACUCAACCAUAUAUUGAUGUCCAGGGGCGACGGGACAGAAAAUGAAAUUCAUCUUUACAGUCAAUUCUAAUAUUGGGAAAGCGAACCUAUUGUUUCCAAUGCGACUUCAUCUUCUCUUCAUCAGAAAUGGCUCCUCAGAAUGAAUUGUUAACCAUAAGCCACAGCCAAUCAAGAGAAACCCCUGCAAAUAUGCCGCCUAACAAGAACACAACAAGAAAAUUACCCAGGGCAUUCUGUUCAGGUCCCUGCACGUGCAAAACCAGGAAAAUGAAAUUUCAUUAGAAACCACAUCAAAAUCUUACAUUUGUUACACGUGAUAACAUACUCGUGUGAAGUUGUGAAGUGUGAAAUACUAACAUUGUAACCUUUGGGUGCAACUGUGAGGACACACACAGUGAGAUAACCAUUUGUUAGUCCCAGAAAACAUGUGAACAUAAUCAUCCAUCCCUGAUCAGCAUAUUUUGCAGUGAAGUAAAAUGCGGGAAUGAGUAGAAAACGUGAAAGAACAGCAAUCAUGAGGCCCUUUCUAGACUCUAAUUUCAAGCGUUCCACCAGGGGAAUGUAUCUUGAUAUGAGAUCCCAAACAUUGUACAUUGCAAUCAGAACAAGUGUAUACCUGAAAAGCCAUAGUUAAUCUGUCUCUACGAAGUCCUUUUCCAAUAGGGUAAAGAUCAAAAUCAAGAGUUUGCAUUUACCAUUUUCCCAACUUGUGUUCACCAGUAUUUUCAUAUAUGAACCCAGGGAAAAUUGAUAAUGUCAGUACAUAUAUCAGAAAAAGGUCAAUUGCAUAAUCAAUAUUUUUUAAGUACAAUUUUUUAUUGCUCAAUCGUUCAAGUUGCUUGGGGUCAGCCUGCAAGAAAACCAUAUAUUGGACUGGAUUUCAGAAUUUCAAAUUAAAUUUAUGAACAUGUAAAUACUUAAAUGAGAAUGAAGAAGGUAGAAAUCUUUCCAAGCGAUAAAAGUGCGGAGAGAUUACAAGGAAGUUGCAUUACUUCUUCUUGGGUUUGGAUUCCAGCAGCUGCAAGAUCAGCUGAAACAGUUUUCGAUCCUUCUGAGGCUGCUUUUGCGCGGUAGUACUUCACUAUUGGCAGUUUAGGGAAGACAAAUGAAUACAAUAGAACACAUAGAAACUCCAACAAAGUGGAGAUUGCUAAAAAUAACACAACUCCCUUUCUAAGCCCAUUUCGAGCCUUUUCAAAUGCGGCUUUUGUGAUUAGCCUUAAAGCAGAUGUCAGUGCUCCUGAUGCAGCCAACCCAGCAAGGAAAGAUUGGAUGAAUUCAGGGCACAUGAAAGACAAGUCUCCAACCAUUCCACCUUGAACAUGAGCAUCUGAAACCCCAAAAACAGCAACUAUCGCACAUAUGCCAAGGAAAGGUCCAAUUCCUCCUCUGCCUGCUGUAGCCAAGUCCAGAACCAAGAGCAUCAAAGUACUUGCAGUGAAGAGAAUAUAUCCAGCUAUGUUCCGCUUUCUAGUAUCAACCUUUGAUUCAUUGUAUGCUAGUAACGCCAUUGUCCCGAGUGCAAAUGGUUGAUAGACAAGGGUUAGUACCCUUGAAGGAUGGUAACUCUUAGGGAACAAACUAUAGUAGUAUUCUCCUACGGUUAGCAUAGUGCUCCAUGCAAUAAGGGACCCAAGUCCAAGAAUCCAACAAACAAACAUUGCUUUAUAUUUUCCCUCAAGCCUUGAUGGCGGAGCCCCACUUCCAUCAGCAAUGGCCAUGGCUAUUGGCUAGUCCUUUCAAAGUGAUAAGACGAUCGAUGUUAAUACUUACGCAACCUUUAAUGACCUCUCCUACGGGACUGGAGUGAUAUGAUGCAGAAUUCAAAAGCAGAAGAUUAAAGAUUCUAAAUAUUUUCCUUGAAAGUGCGAAUUGACAAUAACGGUUGAUGGGUAUAAAAAAUGGAAUCAAAAUAAUCUUUAAUGAUAUUAGAA